AACGUAGGAGACAAACGUUAUCCGGAGUUACUGGGCGUAAAGAGCGCGCAGGCGGUCGUUCAAGUCGAGUGUGAAAGCCCCCGGCUCAACUGGGGAGGGUCAUUCGAUACUGAUCGACUCGAAGGCAGGAGAGGGAAGCGGAAUUCCCGGUGUAGUGGUGAAAUGCGUAGAUAUCGGGAGGAACACCAGUGGCGAAGGCGGCUUCCUGGCCUGUUCUUGACGCUGAGGCGCGAAAGCUAGGGGAGCAAACGGGG
rnacentral:rRNA from 1 species